GAUGAACGCUAGCGGCAGGCUUAAUACAUGCAAGUCGAGGGGCAGCAUGAAUGUAGCAAUACAUUUGAUGGCGACCGGCAAACGGGUGCGGAACACGUACACAACCUUCCUAUAAGUGGGGAAUAGCCCAGAGAAAUUUGGAUUAAUACCCCGUAACAUAAUGAUGUGGCAUCACAUUAUUAUUAUAGCUACGGCGCUUAUUGAUGGGUGUGCGGCUGAUUAGAUAGUUGGCGGGGUAACGGCCCACCAAGUCUACGAUCAGUAGCUGAUGUGAGAGCAUGAUCAGCCACACGGGCACUGAGACACGGGCCCGACUCCUACGGGAGGCAGCAGUAAGGAAUAUUGGUCAAUGGACGCAAGUUUGAACCAGCCAUGCCGCGUGAAGGAUUAAGGUCCUCUGGAUUGUAAACUUCUUUUAUCUGGGACGAAAAAAGGCUAUUCUUAGUCACAUGACGGUACCAGAUGAAUAAGCACCGGCUAACUCCGUGCCAGCCGCCGCGGUAACAC
rnacentral:rRNA from 1 species